AACAACGGAUCUCUUGGUUCCGGCAUCGAUGAAGAACGAAGCGAAAUGCGAUACGUAAUGUGAAUUGCAGAAUUCAGUGAAUCAUCGAGUCUUUGAACCCACAUUGCGCCCUCUGGUAUUCCGGAGGGCAUGCCUGUCCGAGCGUCAUUGCUGCCCUCC
rnacentral:rRNA from 1 species